rnacentral:rRNA from 1 species
GACGAAGGUAGCAAGCGUUGUUCGGGAUCACUGGGCUUAAAGAGCGCGUAGGCGGUAGCGUAUGUCGGGUGUGAAAUCCCUUGGCUCAACCAAGGAAUUGUGUCCGAAACUACGUUACUAGAGUGCAGAAGAGGACGGCGGAAUUCCUGGUGGAGCGGUGAAAUGCUUAGAUAUCAGGAGGAACACCGGUGGCGUAGGCGGCCGUCUGGUCUGUAACUGACGCUGUGGCGCGAAAGCCAGGGGAGCGAACGGG